UGGAACACGGGCCUCGACUGUUUACCAAAAACAUAGCCCUCGGCUAAUAUGAAAAUAGAUGUAUAGAGGGUGAUGCCUGCCCAAUGGUUGUAUCUAAAAGCGGUUGAUAAAAGUCGACCUCGUAAGGACAAUUGAAUGGCCGCGGUAACACUGACCGUGAUAAUGUAGCGUAAUCAAUAGCCAAUUAAUUGUUGGCCAGUAUGAAUGGCGCCACGAAGGCCCCACUGUCUUAAGGAAAUUCCCAGUGAAAUUGAAUUCGUAGUGAAGAUGCUACGUCCAAUUUGUUAGACGAAAAGACCCCGUUGAGCUUUACUGGAGCACUUACAUGGCCCCGGCCUUCCCAUGCCUGGGAACCGGCCGAAUUUAAAUGGGCGGCUUAGAUUAUGUGGCAGUCCCCCGCUGGGGCAAAUGAAACACCACUCCCCCAUGUCAAAGGGGCUAACCCCCCCCCUUGGGGGGGACAGUGUAAGUAGGACAGUUUGGUUGGGGCGACCGCCUUUUAAAAAGUAACGAAGGUGCGCUUAAGGUGCGCAAUUAAUGACUGAAGCCUGACUGCGAGGGGGACACCCCGAGCAGACACCCCUAAGCCCGCCCGAAGGGCGGCGGUGGGGUGGGCCAUAGUGACCCGUUAAUUUAGAGUGGAAUAGUUAACGAUCAACGAAUAAAAG
rnacentral:rRNA from 1 species